UGGGGAAUAUUGGGCAAUGGGCGAAAGCCUGACCCAGCAACGCCGCGUGAGGGAAGAAGGGUUUCGGCUCGUAAACCUCUGUCCUAUGGGACGAAGGGAGUGACGGUACCAUAGGAGGAAGCCCCGGCUAACUACGUGCCAGCAGCCGCGGUAAUACGUAGGGGGCGAGCGUUGUCCGGAAUGAUUGGGCGUAAAGGGCGCGUAGGCGGCCUGAUAAGUCUGGAGUGAAAGUCCCGCUUUCAAGGUGGGAAUGGCUUUGGAUACUGUCGGGCUUGAGUGCAGGAGAGGAAAGCGGAAUUACCGGUGUAGCGGUGAAAUGCGUAGAGAUCGGUAGGAACACCAGUGGCGAAGGCGGCUUUCUGGACUGAAACUGACGCUGAGGCGCGAAAGCGUGGGGAGCAAACA
rnacentral:rRNA from 1 species